rnacentral:rRNA from 1 species
GGCGGCGUGCUAAUACAUGCAAGUCGAACGGAGAGCUUCUAGUAAUUUAUUACUUGGAUGUCUCUUAGUGGCGAACGGGUGAGUAACGCGUUGGUGACCUGCCCCGAAAUGUGGAAUAACUCCGGGAAACUGGAGCUAAUACCUCAUGUGGUCUGCGGAUUUAGAAACCGCUGAUUAAAGGUCUUCGGAUCGUUUCGGGAGGGGCCUGCGUCCCAUCAGCUAGUUGGUAGGGUAAUGGCCUACCAAGGCGACGACGGGUAGGGGACCUGAGAGGGUGAUCCCCCACAAUGGAACUGAAACACGGUCCAUACAUCUACGGAUGGCAGCAGUAGGGAAUAUUGCCCAAUGGACGAAAGUCUGAGGCAGCAACGCCGCGUGUGCGAUGAAGGCCUUCGGGUUGUAAAGCACUUUUCUGAGGGAAGAGGAAGGACGGUACCUCAGGAAUAAGUCUCGGCUAACUACGUGCCAGCAGCCGCGGUAACACGUAGGAGGCAAGCGUUAUCCGGAUUUACUGGGCGUAAAGCGCGUGCAGGCGGUUUGGUAAGUUGGAUGUGAAAGCUCCUGGCUUAACUAGGAGAGGCCGUUCAAUACUGCCAGGCUAGAGGACGGUAGAGGAAGGUAGAAUUCCUGGUGUAGUGGUGAAAUGCGUAGAUAUCAGGAGGAAUACCAGAGGCGAAGGCGGCCUUCUGGGCCGUUCCUGACGCUAAGACGCGAAAGCAUGGGUAGCAAACGGGAUUAGAAACCCCGGUAGUCCAUGCCGUAAACGAUGCAAACUUGAUGUUGGUGGUGUAAAAGCCAUCGGUGCCGUAGCUAACGCGAUAAGUUUGCCGCCUGGGGAUUACGGCCGCAAGGUUAAAACUCAAAGGAAUUGACGGGUUCCCGCACAAGCAGCGGAGCGUGUGGUUAAAUUCGAUGCUACGCGAANAACCUUACCUGGGCUUGACAUAUAGGUGGUAGGGAUCCGAAAGGUGACCGACCCUUUCGGGGAACCCUAUA